rnacentral:misc_RNA from 1 species
GUUAUUCUAAAAAUUUUCUCUCUUUCAGCUCCCUAUAAAACCCAAGCCUACUGCAACAACUUUACUCUCAGAAUCAAACCAGUGUAUUCUAUAAAUCAAACAUUCCAACCAAAAGUUGCCCAUCUCUCUGCACAUAAAGUUGCAUAUCCCUAGCAAUCACUUCUUCUCUAAGCAGUAACCAUGGCUAGGUACUACAACCAACAUUCUUAUCUGGACUACAUCUCCUACCUCUCUAUGCCUUUCCACUUAUGCCUUUUCGUGACCAUACUCAUCUUCACAUUAGGCUUUUCAUGGUACAUAAACUAUGAGUCCAAGUUUGAAGACUUUAUCAACCAAGUGAAGCUCUUUCUCAUGUUCUCUCCUCUCCUUUUGCUGCUUGUUGUUCACUGCUUGUCAAGUGGGUUCCUCUUUAUACCUUUCCCAGAGAGGGAUUCUCUUCACAGAGCAGGAGGUUCUCCUUGGGGUGUUGCUCUUUUGCUUGUUUUUCUUCUCUUCAUGAUCUCUUACCAGUCUUCUUUCCAUGAACGUUGGUUUCCUCUAAUCACCAGAUGAUGAUGAUGAUUUUCAAAGGUAUAUAUAUUAGUUAUUUACUUUUUUUUUCCUUCCUUUCUUUCAAGUAAAAGGGUUUGCAGUAUAUGUUUUUUUUUCUUUUCUUGAGCAGGGGGAUUGGGGGAGAGAAAACUCUAAUCUGAUUUGUCUGACAGGUGAGUAGUAUGAGUUCAGUCACUAGAUGCUUAUAUUUUGUAUAAAGAGCAUAUAUAUAUAUAUAAUAUGGUGUGAUAUCUAUGUAACGGUGUAUCUUUAGUUGGAAGAUAAAGGCUUUGUUUUAUGGAAGAAAC